UAAUUGCUUCUUUGUGUUUCCAGGACCUGGCAUAAUCCUUGGCACGGAGUAGAUAUUUAAUCCUUGUGAAUAUUUGAAUGCGAUACUAAAUAGAGUUGGAGUGCCUAGUAUAUAUUGGCAACUUGGAGAAACUGUAUAGAUUCUACUUCACUUUUAGGAAGACAGAUGAACUGGCAUCAGAAAAUAGCUGAGAGACCAUUGGAUUUCUCAGAGAUUUUCACGAAAGGACAGUCACAGGAAGGAGCCCUUAAGGCCCGUUAUGAGACCUCACAAAUCAUCACUUUUUAAAGCCCACUUCAAAGGUUAUACAGGAACACAACUGGUAGGGGGGGACCGUGGAAUUCCAUGGACGACAAGUCAACAAUGCCUAGGGAAAAUAUCUAAUAAAAUACUAAUUUUGAAACUGUUUUAUGUAGUUGAGAAGUCCAGAUUAAAAGAAUAACAAUCAAAUGGAAACUGAAUUAAUUGACAGAUUUCAUCUAUGUAUAUAAUUCAGUUCCUGUUUCUAUUCUUGUUUCAAUAGCAGUUUCUCUGCUGCCCUUCUUCACAACAUUGCUGCAAUAAACACCUUACUAUUGUCUGAGUUCUGCAAAGUUGUAUACAAUAUAAUUUCUGGUACAUGUAUGCAUGGAAUUCCUUUAUUACUAACAAUGAACACAAUGGAAGUCUACAUUUAUAUAGUAGUUUAUAUUUUAUUAGUUAUAAAUGUUAGCAACGUGAGGGACCUUAGCAGGUCUAAACAAAUUUGCUCAUUUGAUAGAUGAGGGAACUGAGUCAUAAAGUGAUUAACUUAUUUUUUUCCCCCAUGGAAAAAUUAACCAAAAAUUGUCAUUCAAAGUUAUGUUUUCUAUUAUAUGAAAAGUGAUUGCCAAUGAGACGCUCAAGGUCAAGGUUGAUAUCUGGCUUUAUCUUCUUUUAAAAAUGAAUUUAAUGACUUCAUUAAAAUCUAGGGAUAUAUAAAAGGCAGCAAUACUAUCACUCCAUUAACAGAGAUUUACUUAUCAGGAUUUCAAACAAGGAAUUCAUCAAGCUAAAAUUCUUUCCAGAGAACAGAACUGUCCUAUAUUCAGGGAACAUGAGGCCCAUAUCUUCUGUCAUGCCCUUGAAAAUUCUGACAACAUACUCUAAAAUGGCUGCAAGAGGCUGCUUUCUGUCUCAGCUGGCUCAAGGUAUAGAAACUCUUUGGAGGGCCAAUAUGCUUCGAGCAUCCUGGCAUGUCUGUUCUGAAUCAAGCUUCCAUAUUCCCAAGUUAACCUACCUAGAUAUCCUUAAGGCUGUUUAUCCUUCUAGGUGUCCUUAAGGCUGAGAACUGGCCUUUAGAGGAGAGUCAUCUCCCACAGCGGCUCAAGACCCAAGGCUAUUCAAGAGAAAAGGCAGAAACAAGUACAGGAAAAAAAUAUGCUGAUCUUCCUUCUGGUUCUGAAACAUGCCCAGCACUUGCUCUCUUUGGUUCUUUGCACUCGUCUUUGCCUGCUGAGCCAUGUUGUUCUCCUGCAGAGCAUGAUGUCACAGAACAUUCCCAUCAGCAAGGUCAUCGUGCACCCCACAGAAUAACCACCAUCUCCCCUCAUUAAAACUUCAAUGAGAUAUCACCAUUGACAUUUCAGCAUUUGAUUAUUCUGCGUGUAUUCUCUGAAUGGAAGAAUUAUUGACUACCAAGAAAUUCUGGCUUUUCUGUGAAGAUCAGCCUCUUCCUAAGCUGCAUCAACUUCAAAUAUUCUGCUGGCAGUGUCUGCACAAGAGGCUGCUAGGCUUCAGUCUGCUCGGGCCCUGGGAUUCUACAGGGUCUAGAAUCCUAUGGUGCAUGUCUAUUCAUUUCAAAUAGUUUUCAAAAAUAGAAAAAAUGUGAGAGGAUGAAUGCUUAAUAUUAAAUGAAAGGGAUCUUGUGCUACAAAGCACACAUUCUGCCUCUGUUGUAUAGAAUCCUAAUUUUGAGGUUGAAAUUUAUAUUCUUAAUGUAAUUUCAAAGUGGAACAUAGCUUUUAAAACAGGAAAACAAUAAAGGUGGCCAUGCAUAGCUUACAGAUAUGGCUGUGCUGGUAACGCCUGCACCGUGGUGUCAGGGUUCUCCAUGCAUAGGUUACCUUUAAAGCCAGUCAGGAUACCAAGGUAAGUAUUAAAGCACUUGAACCAUACUCUGAGAAAAUAAGGAGCAAGCGAGGGAGAUGCCUGUGAGUUUUGUAUAAACAUUUCUCAUAUUGAGAUUCCAUUUCUCAUUUUGUUUCUGCCUGGGUUCUCCAGGCACUCUACAUAAUGUUAAUUAUAUCUUACAACUCCAGGAUAUCAUUAAGAAUAUGUGAAAUCCUCAUUUAUAUUAUUUUCAAUUUGCAUGUAUUCUUAUAUAUCUUUUGGACUUGAAAAAUUAUAAAAAGGUAAAAAAUCAAAAAGUCAAAACAAAAAUUUCCUUAUGAAUCUCAAUGAUGAACAUGGAAUAUGUACUUGGUGGUACCCUGUACCCACUAAAUAGAAUUGGUGCUUAUAGCUACAUGUGUUUUACUUUCCAGGCUAUAAGAUAGAAGGCCAUUAAUGGAUUUCUAGUUUCAAACAAGGCAUCUUUAGUUAGAAAAUGCAAAUGAAAAUUUUAGUAACCAGUCCUCUAGCACGAUACUUGCCUUACAUGUGAGAGGUGGUUUUGGAAAUCAGUCACAUCAACUUUCAUUUUCCUUACCUGGACAAUAUUUUCAAAUGCAUUAACUUCUAAUAUAGGUUAUUAAGUAUAUGACAAAUCUGAAUAUCCAUUGUGCAUUUAAUUUCAUAUUUUAAUAUUUUUAUCCACUUACACGAAGAAACAGAUGUAGAAUACUUUUAUUUUAGGGUCAAUUAUACCAUAUUGAUAAAUGAAAAUGACACUGUACCUUAUUAUUAUCAUUAAUAAAACCAUUCCUUCAAUGGGAAACUUCUAUCUUUUUUACCGAAGGCACAAGCUUUUCCUUACCAGUGUAUAUCAUGUGUCUUCUUUCAGGAAACAACAGAUAAAUGAAAAAAGAAAGAGAAACAGUUUACACCAUAACUUUUACCAUUGUCUUCCACCUCCGUGCCCUCCCUCCCUCCUGCCCACAAGCAAAAAUAAAAAAAUUAUUUGAACUUGCCGGAAAGAGUUUGCUGUGACUAAUUGCCUUUCUGGUGUGUGUGUGCCACACUUCAUUUUAUGAUUAAGAUUUCUGACUCAAGAAAUUGUCAGCAAAAGACAAUAUAUCAAAGUUUAAAUAUCAGUAAUAAAACAGUACAGGAGAUAUUCUGUGACUACUUAGAACUGAAAGCGUUUUAUUGAAAAAGGUUUGUUUUCUUUGGCAGCCUUCCAUGACCUCCUACUGUUGACAAAACUAGCAGCCUGUCCUGUUUGAAGUGUAACUGUCAGCAGAAGCUGCUGCUUCAGAGCACUUACAGGAUUUAUCUCUAAUAUUUUCAUCGAACACACUCGCGAUACACCUUACAUAAUCUUUAAAUUAUAGGAAAAUGCUAGAAGGGUGUUCUGCAAGUCACAGUCUGAAGUCAGGGGGGAGAUUUAUGGCUCUUUCCAGUCGACAUUUGUGACUGACCUACAGCACACCAGGGCUGCUAUUUCCCUUUCCUGAUUCAUGAUAAGUGCAGCUGCCUCCAAAUAAGCCCCCCGAGCCCAUUAAUGCUUAGUCCAUUCCCUUAUGGUAAAUAUGCACAUCUCCAGUCUCACUUUUUAAUGUUCAGCUGUGAUGAAGUUGAAUAGAAAACCAGGUUGCCUUAGCUUACUUGAAACCCUUUGCCAAGUAAGUGCCUCGCCAUCAAAGCGUGGGUGCCCCAAAGUCCAUCUUACCUCUGGCUCUAAUUAAGGUGAUGCUUUCCAGUCUAGUUUACUCACAAAAAAAUUGCAAAAUCGUUUUCCCCUUGCAACCUGGGUUUUAAGGUCCUGGACUGUGAUGCCUUCCAUUUUUCGCUGCCAGCACCCUAUCUAAUUAACAAAAUUGCAUCAAGAUUGAUAUGAAGGUAAAUAUUAAAGGCACAAAAGGGAAGGGGAAGCAAAUUAUUUAAAAUGUCAGAAAAGCCAAGACAUUCAUCUUCCCUGCCGCAAUUUGUUUUUCAUUAAUAAAAUAUACAUUGUUUUCCACUCGGAAAAGUUAUUAGUGGCAACACAGUCUGCAUGAAGCUUUGUCUCUUCCAAAAUGAAGUCUUUGUUUAGACAUUGGUGAUGGGGGUUUUGUGUCAUUGUCUAAUCUGUCAGAUUAGAUGAGCAAGUGUAUUUAGGGGUGUAAAGAUGUGCAGCCACACCUGCUGUGCAAAGCUGUGAAUUCACAACUCUUCUGACUAUUAAAAUGUGUUAUGCUGGGAGCUCUUUUGUUGUAAUAAAACUGUUGGUGGUUGCGUGUUUGAAGUGGCGCAAGUGUCAGGCCUUAUUACAAUCAUAAUAAUCACACCAAAAGUAACCUCAUAUUUUGACUAUUUAAUGUUAAUGUGGAACAAAUUAAAGGCUAAGCACCUAAUAGAUUCGGAGAUGUUAAAUUGAUUUUGCACUCAAAUUUUUCUAAGGAAAAACAGAAGUCCAUUAAUGAAAUAGUAUUCACGGUCCAGAAAAAACUAUAGUCAUCUGAAGAAGAGUUUUGAAAUAAUAUAGGAAGCAGACAAAGGAUACACAACAAAAUAU